CGGUCUGAGCCGCUUGGACUGUCUGCGCUAGUCCUCAUGCAAGUAAACGUGGCUGCUUUCCUGAAGCAGCUUGAGAUCAGAUGACGAUGAUGAUAGUGAUGAUUUCCAAGAGGAGGACGGUUCAGUCCUCCACAACACAGGUUCAGGGGGGCAGUCGAGAGUUUGGUUGAAGAUUGUCAGUCGACAUCUGUCGCCUUACAGAAUCCUCGAUGUUGUUGUAAAGAGGAAACGCCCGUCAGUAAAGACACUCUCUGCCAAAAAACAGUAUACAGUAUCAGUGGAUUGGCCAUGCCGGCUCAUAUGCAUUUUGUCCUGGAAUAAACCUUGGUGAGCCAUGCAGGUAAAAUCUACCGGAGGAACACACUGGAUGUCUACACAAACACAGACUAACACACACAGAAUCCGUUCAGUUAUUACUUUAUUACAUCGAGGACACACAACCAGAGGAGAGCAAAGCAUGACCAUUGUGCCCUGGAAUUAAAUACAGGCGAUUCCUCAAAACGUGUUCUUCUUUCCCCUCACUUGCUCAGCGGCUGCUGUUGAACCCGAGGAACUGUUUUGUACGCAGCGUUUGCACUCUGCUCGCCUCCUCGUUCCUCCUCCACCUUCUUCCCUUCAGAGGGGUUAUCUUGGGAGUUGACCAUAAGACGGGUCAGCUUGCAGGAGGAUUAUGUGAGCUGCACUCUUAAACGAGGCCUGCAGCUUUCCUGCCUGUUCCUCCCUGACCGUCUGUUUCCACGGGAUCAUCAGCAAACCGGACAAUUUGAUCCACGUUUCAUGAUUGGUGAAGUAAAGCUUUCUAGUAAUGGGACUAGUGAUGUGAGUAAUUCUUCCAAUUCUGAUUGACAGCCGGAAGACUACUUGUAACAUUUACAUAUUGUGUGAGUGACAUCAUUCGGCGACUUAAUACCGAUUAGAAAGGCCUCAGGGCCUCAAAUGAAAUGGACCCUGCUUGCAUCAGCCAGCACCGGGUUUCCUGUAUGAGUAAACGUUUUCUACCCGGCACAGGGACAACUAUGGACGCGCUGGUGUUCACGCUCGUACAAAUACUCAGGGAUGCAAGUGUUGCUAGUGUGCGGAUCAGCAGGUAGCAGGUCGGUGACGGGUCUCUGAUCCAUCGGGAUGAUCCUGUGUGAGGCGCCGGGGGGGUAGAUGUAGAAUCACACCCAACAGAAAUAUCACACAGAGAAAACAGUAUCAACCCUGCCCUUGUUUUCCAUUCCAUGUGUUUGUGUUGCCUCCUGAAACCCAAUGAAGACCCAAAUACAUUUGACUUUCUGUCAAUUAUGUUACGAUCAUUCCUCCCAACACUUGAGCUCUCCUCUCCCCCCUUUCCUUCGCUCAUCUCAUCCGUAAGGAGGACAGAGCAACGCUACAUCAUCUCCGACUCCUCCCACAUCUGUCACAUGUCUCAAAGGAGCUCCUCCAACAAGGUGACGGUUUGAAGGAGUCUCCGGGUAACAUAUGGAGAGAAGUUUCCACAGAGAAACGCCCGUCAUUAGGACUUUAACCAGAAGCCCCUCACUGAUGACCCCGCUCUGUGUGAGUGUGUGUGUGCGUGCUUGUGUGUGUGCGUGUGUGUGUGUGUGCGUGUCUGCGGGAGGGACCUAGUUGUCGGAUGACACCCUGCUGUAUCUCGACACCCUCAUACAUCACUCUACAACAACUCACACACACUUUUUCCUCAGCACAUACGCAAAAAAGCAGCAUUCUUCCCCCAUCCUGGCACACACACACACACACACACGGGUAGAGGCCGCGCCGAAAGUCAGGUAUCGUGUGGUUUAAUUAAUUACCGUCUGAAAGUGACCAAGGUCAGAGCGUCGCUCGGCUGGAGAGCUUUGCAGAGGUCACGACCUCUCCACCCGACUCCUCCCAAGCUGUCAGCUGUCUGGAAGGUGAAGAGAAAGCACCUUAAACUCUUAGUUCACACAGAGCCGACUGUCCAAACACCUCGUGUUCCUCCCAGAUUCUACCAUGAAAGCGUUGGGUUCUACAUCACAAAGGAAAUAUAAAGGGAUCAAAAGCACCUGCUGUCUCUCUCUCAGGUGAUUGAUGGUUUAAGCUGCUUUAUUGUAAUGUUGUUAAAGUUGAACCUUUGUACUGAUUCAGUUUAAUAAAAGCUGGUAAAACUAAAUAUACGAAUCUAGAUAAUGAAAAUGAAAUGAAACUGAUAAUGAAUUUGGGUGUGGAUUAGAUUGUGAGUGACGCUUGGAUGGAUUAUCAAAAGCAAAGUCAAAGACGGAGAUACUAAAGCCAAAUAAGAGAUAAUAAAUGUCCCUUCAAACACAUUUAGGGACCCUUCAACCCAUUUCAUUAAUUAUGUUUCAAAAACUAAUUAGGUGAAGCUGGAGGAUUUGAUCAAACACAGUCGAUUGUAAAAAAUGAAAAAUGUACAGAUGGAAAUGUCGAGCAGUGAGUUAAAUGAAUGAAAAAAAAAAAACAUUGCCAGAGUUUAAUCUCCGCUGCUGUUGACAACAUUGUUGUUGUGUUUUAUUUGUCAUACGUGUAAUCUGUCUAUUGUCGAAGGCUCCAACUGAAACAGGUGCAGACUAAAGUGCAAAACAUUUCAUUAGAAAAGUCUUCUGUCUAAAAUAACACCAGUGCAUAACUCCUGUCCUGUGAAUAGUUCAUGCUAACAGGUGUUAGCCUGCUAACCACGAACACCCAUCGCUGGUGCUUCCAGCACAUACACACACAUCCGAGACUCUCAUUUAAACCAAAAUACUAUAUUCUCUGCAACUGAAAAAUGUGUUUAUUGUAAGAAGUUUAUCCUGUACUUUAUCACCAUAACAAUAUUUUAUUAUUACUCUAGAUGGGAAGAAAAAGUAAAUAGCACUUCAGAUCAGUGGACUAACAUAUUGGAUGUGACAUUCUCGUGUUUAAAUAAAGUAGACACAGAUGGAGGAACAGUGAGAGGGAGUAAGUCGUGAGAUCGCACAGAGAUAAUGAGAGAGAGACAGAGACGAGACUCAAAAUCACAGGUUCUUAAGUACAACGACGUCCCGCUACCCGCCGAGCCAACCAGAACAUUACAGAUGUUUCUCUGUCGGAGGAGCCGAUGCCCCGGGAGUUUAAAUGAAGCCGACCUCAGAGGAUCUUGUGCGUCUGUCGUGAGGUUUUUACAGAAAUCUAAUUAUUAUCUUCAAUUUAACAAGGUCACGGCACUAUUCCUGGGUAUGAAAGGGUUUUAUCAGUCACACAUUGUGCGACGUGGUGCUCAAGUCAGUGGGGUUUCUUAUUGUGUUUUACCGCCUUUUCAAGCUCAAGUGUUUCAUCUUUGUGCCUUUAGAUGAGCACAUCUAAAACCAUGAACACGUCAAAACAAUCACCAACGUUUGUUUGAUCGUCCCCUCAUAUGUAUUUUUUAUAAGACUAAUAAUAGUACCUCUUGCUGAAGCGACAUUUAAAAAAAAGGAAAAACAGGAAAAGCUUUUAAAAACAUAAAAAACAUGUUUCUCUAACAGAUUUUUCACAUUUCCCAGGAGUCAGAGAGGGUUGUGCGGCCCGAGGGUUCUCCUCUGGUCCGAUUGCGCGUGGACCGGGGGCCUUUCCUCCCGGCUCGCGUGGCGCUGGUGGAGCAGGCUGAGGUCUGACGUUGCUUGUCAGAGUUGUUGUGUGCGAAGAUGAUUGGAAAUAAAGGACCUGGCGACCCUCAAGUUUAUGAUUCGGUCACAAUCCUCUGUUUUGUACGAUUUACCACCUAAAUAUGGUUUAAAGAAACAGGCAUUCUGAAAAGCAGAAUUCAUGACACACUUCACCCACCUGUGUGUUUGAUAAUGUGCUGGCAACACUACCAACAUUUUAACUUGCUGCCGGCGUCCGUUUGACUUUUUUUGGGCUGCGCCGGUGACCUUCUGCAGACCUUGUUAGUGAGGAGAGUGCUGCUCCAUGCUGAUAGCUUUUUAAACCCCGACUUGCUGCUGCAGGAUGAAAGCUUUGUAAUCCUCAAAGAACACACACUCACAAAUGACUCGUGUUGAUUAAACAACCACAAACACACUGUUUUUUUGUUUUUAGCAUGUGUCACAAUCACAAAAUGGAAAAGGGUUUGAUAUGCUUGGUGGCAGCAAAUAGUAUGAAUGGACUGGUAGAUGGAUGGACAGGUAGGUAACUAAGUGGGUAGGUAGCCAGGUAGGAAGAUUGAUGGACGGAUGGAUGGACAGGUAGGUAACUAAGUGGGUAGGUAGCCAGGUAGGAGGAUUGAUGGACGGAUGGAUGGACAGGUAGGUAACUAAGUGGCUAGGUAGCCAUGUAGGGAGAUUGAUGGAUUGGACAGGUAGGUAACUAAGUGGGUAGGUAGCCAGGUAGGGAGAUUGAUGGAUGGAUGGACAGGUAGGUAGCUGGGAAUUGGUAGCCAGGUAGGUGUUUGGGUGGAUGGAUCAAACAAAGAAGUUUAAAAUGUGCUUUUUUAAACUCAAGGACAAUGCUCACCUUGGGUGGGCUGAACAUAUGAAAAAACAGUGAUGCGGAGGGCCCCGAGCCCCUCCGGGGUCAGUGUCGUCCUGAAAGAACACCAGCUGCUCACGCAGAUGGGUUUGGAGCACGCUGAUAAAAACAGUGUUAGAUCCAGAACAGAUAGUCAGGCAAGGAGGCCGAUAGAAGUUAAAAACGAAUGAAAUGAGAAAAAGCCCUGUUGAUGAUGGUGUGAUCGCGUUGGAUGAGUCCUGCUGCCUCCUCGUCAGUCACAUCAACAGAAGUAUUGGACAGUUUUAACAUUUGAAACAUUUUUCAGUUUUUUAUUAUCCAGGCAUUUCGUUUGAAACCUACAAAUGUCAAACAUUCGGUGGUGCCAGAAGUAAAGUCAGGGGAUCACCAAAGCCAGUCGUGGGGAUCUUCUGGGGACCGUGAAUGUUUGCACAAAAUGUGAGCCAAGUUACGGUUCUCCUCACGGUGAGUGAAAACUCAACUGCUUUGAGGCACCGAAGGAAAAUCUCCCGAAUCACCACAGUUUAACGUUUAGUCCUCUGGAGACCAACAAUGUCUAUGGAAAAUGUGACUGCUGCCAGUUGUUGUUCUGGGUUAAGAUGUUAAAACAACAUCGCCAUCCGUAAGCCGUGCCACAACAAACGAAAUGCUGCAAAACAACGAGAAGAUCACAUCGAGUCAGUGUGAAAGAACAAGUAGGAAUUUUCCAGCUCCUCUCUCUCUUUUCCUCUUGUUCGUCGUGGUCGUAAUGAGGACUGCUGGAUCUCGCUGGAAGGGGGAUUAUGUCUGGUUUCACCUAUGAGGGAGUUGAAAGGCAUCGCCCCAGGUUGGUCGAAUAAUGACUGAUGUUGGGUUAACACUCUGUUGUCAGGUUUCAAUCGGUUGCCUCAUUAUCUGAGUCGCUGUCAAGCAGCACGCUCAGCUGGGUAUUAAUGUGAACCAAAUGAGACGGAACAAUAACCAGGUACAGCGUGGUGGCAUUUAAGGCUUUGCAAGAUCACUUAAAGACGAUUCGUUUGAUUUGAAUUGUAACAGGGCAACAACCUCUGUUUGUGAAAAAGGGAAGUUAAUAAUGUCUCGUGUCCACAAGUGUCUUAAACCUGCAUUCCCUCUGCUGAACAGCAAAAAGACGUUUGGUUUUAUGGAAGUCAAAGAGGAAAGGACCCUCACUUGGUUUAUUGUUUAUGGUGUCAAUCUCUUCUUCGAGGCUUCUUCAAUGCAGCACAAUGUUUAUUUCGUAAAAUAUGUUCAAUUUAGAGUCAAACAGACCAUAAAGAAGUUUAUACUAUAAGCCGGCCUCACUAGGAUCGUCAUACUGAGGCUUUAAAACAACAGUCCGAGAAACCAAUGGGUCACGACACAAUGACCAUUUGUUUCAUUCAGUAUUUGGGUCUAAUCAAAAUCAAAUAAUGCAAACAACAAACUUUUAUGGAGAAAAAAGGAAUAAAAAUCUACUCCAAAGCCAGAUCAUAGAUUGUAUUUAAGUGAAGUCAGAUUUUGAUGAAUGAUCGAUGAAUGUUAAUUGGACCAUAGGAUGUCCAGUUUUAGUCUCUUUCUGAGGUUCAAGUACUUUGAUAUGAUGGUUUUUCUUUAAUCUGUCGCUGCCAGGCAGCACAAGCGACUUUGACAUUCUGCACUGUGAGACAUUUUCUUUUGAGUUUCAAACCAGUAUCAACGGAUACAAAAGGAAACCAUUUCUAUGAGUGGAGACGUCUUAGCGUGUUUCUCAUUUGGGUAAUACUCCUCUCACACAAAUCCUCCCACGCAGUUCUAAACUGACCUCCAGUGACUCUGAAGCCGAAGAUGAGAUAAACCUCUCAAUGGAACUCCUUCCUCCCUCUGUCCUCUUCGAGAGGGCUCCGGGGCGCAGAAGACAAACAGGAACACCGUCGUCCCCCGGGACGGACGAUAAGGUCACCGCGGAAGCGUGUCGUUAUACGCACGCGUGUGUGUGCGGGUAUAAGACAUGUAUGUAUCCGUGUGUGUGAGGUCAGCGUGAAGCUGAGAGGUCGGAGUGAAGGGAGGAAGGAGAUAAGCGAGCAGAUAAAGUGUGCGUACGACUUGAGGUCGUGUCCGUCUCAGUUGGUUGGUUUCUUUUACCGUUGUAAUGUCAAAGUUUCAAGGGUAAGUGUAGACCGAGCGUUGAUGGAGUGCACAUCGGCCUGCACUGCUCCCGUUGUGACGGGUAUUUCUAAUUAACGCCGGUCCAACGCUGCACAAAUGUGGCUGACGGGGCAGCUCGCAGCGAUCCGCGCCCUUCGGAGCAACGCGUCUGUCAAUGCACACGAGCCGCUGACCUUUUGUUUACAGAGCCAUCGCUCUCAACGCGACCGCGAAUAACAGGCGGCUGGCGACCCCGAUGGGUUUUUAAUCCACCUGCAUGUUAUCAGUUCGCCGCAGAACUAUUUCUGUUUGUUUAUGACAUUAUAGCCGCGAGUAUCAAAUCAUAAUUGGACAUAUUGUUUGGAUCCAAGCCGGACUCCUGAUGUAUUCUAUUAUGUCAAAUAAGCCGUUUCUCUUUAGUAGACAGCGAUAAUUGAAAAUAUAGGUUUCAGGUUCUUUCGCGCUACAACAGUUGACUGUUAAUGUGUUUAUUACUCGCUAACGUUUUACUACGAAACAAUGUGGAAGCUUAAAUAAAUGACUUAUUUCACCGUUGAAUGAAAUGAAUUAUGUUAAGAAAAUGUCGACCCUGACACCUAAAAGUUUAGUUUACAUUCUUUGAUUUCUAGCGUAGCACCAAAGACAGUAGAUUGAUACCAAAGACACAUAUUGAUAAUUUGAUCGGCUUUUAAAGUUUCUUGUGUCACCAAUUCCUGUACAUGAUAUUGAAACCCAUUCAUUUCCGUGCGUAUGAACCGCUUUAACAGUUUUUGAGAAUAAGGUCCUAUUCCUAUUUCUGGGUCCUAAGUAGAAUCCAGGAAAAGCCAAACUCUUGCAUAUUGUUUAUACGGGGAACGUGCCUGCAGGCUUUCACAGAGGCAGCGUUCUGACUGUUUGACUGCGUAGUCGGACUUGAGAGAACAAGAAGGGAGUGAAUGGAAAAUGCAGGAGGCUGUUUGUGCUUUCGCAUUGGCUCAGUUCCCCUCAUAUAUACAUCGAUAUCACACGGCCUUCACCUCGGCUGUGAGAGACAAAGGUCACUGCAUGCGGGGAGAGAGAGAGAGAGAGAGAGAGAGAACAGUUUUUACAGGUUUGCCUUGAGUGAUGUUAUGCGGUUUCUUCACGUCGGACCAGUUGUUGGAAAAUGCGUAUUACUGAAAGUGUCCUAAAUAAAUCAGCUGUUCUAACCGGGGGAAACUAUUUUUUGAGGGAGCGAAAAAGAGGGGAAAAGGUGUGAGGAAGCACAGUGUGUGUGGGUAGUGAACAAGGGGAAACAUACUCAGCCUAUCCUCUCCGCCUCCGUAUUACCUAGUUUAAAGGUCAAACGCUUUGAGGUUUGCUUUGAAAUGCGUUUGAAGCUCCACCUUGUGGCAGCUGUCAGAGGAUUUAUAACGGAAGCCUGAAGACCAGCAGGUCCUGGAGCUCCGCUCACGUCCCAAUAAAUCCCAAAAUAAAACUGCUGUUUGGCUGCUGAAACGCCGUUCACAUCCACCAGUGGUCAUUGGACAAAGUACAGCACAAAAAGGAGACAUUUGUGUGUGUGUGUGUGUGUGUGUGUGUGGACCAACAGUGGGAGAACAAUAAAUGCCUGUUUGCAUGGCUGAAGGUGACUGUGACAGUUUUAGCCUGAGGGCGUCGUUUUCCUGACGCGGAGUCUGCAGAAGGUUGAUGUGUGUACUUAUUGCUGCAAACACACAAACACAGUCCACAUAUCCGAUGCGUUCCCACGCUUAAUAGUUGAAAUAGUUGAGUGUGUUAAAUAAAUACAUGCUUUAUAUGUAGGUUAUUUAUACGGAGGCACAAUGACGCAACAACACGAAUGUGUUUAAAGCAUAAAGUCAAAUAGUGCGACACAGUGCGUGUGCUGCGCCUUAAGCAGUAAAUGACCUUCUGAGUUACCUUAGUCCUGCACUCGCACAGUCGCACUGGAGACGCACUUGCACACACAGGCCCGUGCACAUGUAUUGUGCACGCACACACACGUGGACACAUCUGUGUUGUGGCCCACUUUUGAGUUCAACACAUGGCGUCAUUUCUCUGCGAAGCGGCUGCGGCGCUGGAGCACAUCGCAGCAACUCUCACAGUGACUAACAAACGCACACGCAGACACACGCAGACACACAAAAACUGUUUUUAGACACAUGGACACUUACAUGAUAUGAUAAAACACGUACAACGUGUCCCUACUUCUUGCCUCAAAAAAUAAGCAUCAUUUGUGCACCAAUCAUAUACGUGUGUGUGUGUGUGUGUAAGUGUACGUGGUUUGUUGUCUUCAUGCACACAUCACACUGACUCUAUCGGCUGCAUCUAUUGAGCUGAAAGCUGAAUAAUUAUCUGCCUUUUCCUUCCUGCUUCCAUCUCUCAUCUCUGCUUUUUAUUUUGUUUUUGCCUUUUGUCUUUUGUCUGGCACAGACACACACACACGCACACACACACACACACACACACACACACACACACACACGGGAACACACAUAUCCGCUCUCUCCUUUAUAAUUAUUUCCACAACAAUGAUUGGGCCAGUUGAUUAAAAAGGGUCUUGUGGGAGCUGUUUCCUGGUUAAUGGCAUCUCCGUUCUACACAACGAGUUCACACAGCACAAAACAAUACACAAAACCAAACACACGGUAUGCACACGCACGCAAACAUGCAUGCGUGUGCAAAUACAAACUUUGCAUGCAAGGAAUACACAAAAGGCACAUGCAGACACACAAUCAUCGGCUGAGUCAUUUGAACACACAAUCCAUUAUCAGACAUAUUUUUAGCUGAAAUUGUGCAACUAAAUGCACCAACAAUCCUUCCAAAAGGGCAAAUCUUGAAUUUAUCCACAACAUCUCACAUAUUUUUCCAAAAGACCAGUUUUCAUUUUUUCAUUUUUAAUAUGUGGUUUAUUGCGGCUUGAAGGUCGUUGUGUUGACCUUCGUUCUCGCUGGUCGUGACAACGACGCACACGCAAGGUUGACUGCUGUUAACAGCUGUUAACUGUUUUCAUUUGCUGAGGGUUACAAACGGUGAUUAGUUGGAGACCCGGUGGAAUUCAUACAACACGAUAGGGAGAAAUUGGUUAUGGGUAUUGUUGCAUGUCUGAUCAUGUUAUAAAUAUGUUCCUCUUACCCUGAGUGAAAUUAAUCUACAUCCAUUUCAGAGGCUUCGCAAGAAAAGCUUUCAUUGUGUUUCAUUGUGAUCAAAUAGCAAACACACGUGGAGGUGCUUCAUGCGUGUGGCUGACAGAGUGAUGAUACAGUUCACGCUUUGAAUUUCUCAAAUACUGCGCUACGCCACGUCCCAAAGGUUGAGUCACGUGACUUGGACUCGUUUCUCUGUUCGUGCCCACCCAGUCCACACUUAAGCCCCCGAAUCCACCUCCCAGCAGCCUGCAGCUGCAGAGGGCAACCGGGAAGAACCGGCAUUACGUCUACGAGCACCAGCUGGAUCCGGCAAUCGAAGACAACGUUCACCUCUGCGAUGCUCAACAACAACAACAACAACAACAUCUGGAGGGAGAAUUUCCCAAAUGCAUUUACAUUCGGUAAAAAGGACAUUUUGACUUGUUUUGGGCUUAAGAAUCAACGUUUAGUGCUGCAGUUUAGGACUUGACCCUCCAAACAAGGGCCUGGCGCCUCUUCUGUUGUCUUCUAAGCAGACCUGCGGCAUUCAGCAGAUGAAGUGCCCUUUCACAAUAAGAGACUUGAGCGGUGUAUAUAUAUAUAUAUUCCUGGGCCGUCUCCUCACUGGUCUUAAAGCCGCCGUUGGCCCGGCGUGGGCUUCCUGUCGGAUUAAAUUGGCUUGCGAGAAGAGCUGACGGCUAAAAUAGACACACGGGUUGCCCCCCCCCACCCCCCCCACCCUCUCCUUUAUUCAGUUUACUAGUCCUCAGUGCCCCCUUCUGUCUCUCGCUCUGUCUCCAUCUCUCUGUUUCUCUGCGCUCACGUCUACAUCUUUCCCUCAGAUAACUCCGUCAGUAAUAAGUUCCAGUGGAGGUCCCUCCAAUCCCCCCCCCCCGGUGAGUAAGUGAUUUACGACACAAACUGAACGGAGGAAAAUAAGGUUAAAGCUUCACUCUCAGUGCUUCUGUUCUGCACUGCUUCCUUUCAGGCUUUUUUGAUUUCUCCAUUGUGUUCCUCGUCUUUUCUCCUUCAUUUUCUCUUUUUGUCUCUUCUUUAUUUAUCUCUCUUCUUUUGCCCUCCCCACUCCUCCCCCUUUGUUUCAUCAGCACCGCCGUCUUUUACUUGUGAAGCGGAAUGGGGGAAAGCGAGACUGAGCGAGGCAGAGAAACGGGGGACAGGAAAAGUAGGAAAUCAAAUGUGUUUAUUAUCGAUGCCCGUUUGUGAUUCUUGGAACGUCGUGAGAGCAAAAUGCUCCAAAGCAUUUAUUAGCUGAAGAGGCCGAGAUUACAGGUUUAAAGACAACACACUCAUGUUAUUGUGGCUUCAAUAUCCUGCAGCCAGAGGUGGGUGUGUUUAUAUUGACAGUCACAGAAACAUCUACAGCUGGUAUCAAAUAGGCCGGAUUUACUGCACGUCUGCAGCUUGUGUGUGUGUGUGUGUUGUGCCAAAUGCAGCAGCUGAUACCAAGCUUCAGCGGGUUUAUGCAAAGUAACUCAGACGGCAUAAUAAAUACAGACAAACAUUCACACACAGUGACACUAAGACGCUGCUUAACAAGGAGAUUAUGCCCGUUGAGAGAUAUUUGGGCUUCCUGUAAUUUAGAAGAUGGUAAUCAUGUAAAGCUUGUGUUGCUCUUGCGGCGAUUAACAGUUUCAUUUUCUCUCCCGCUGCACAUUACGUUAGCUUUAAUUGUGAAAAAUCACUAUAUGAUCCUAGACAGUAUGUAACAAGUGCACAUCGUGACGUCACUCGUU
ensembl:lncRNA